rnacentral:tRNA from 1 species
UGCCGGUUAGCUCAGUCAGUUAGAGCGUGGUGCUGAUAACACCAAGGUUGCGGGUUCAAUCCCAAUUCGGUUC